ACCUCGGUAGCUUAUUUGGUAGAGCAACAGGGCGUAAACCUGGGUUCGUAUCCCAGUCGAGGUU